rnacentral:rRNA from 1 species
AGUGAACGCUGGCGGUAGGCCUAACACAUGCAAGUCGAACGGCAGCACAGUAAGAGCUUGCUCUUACGGGUGGCGGGUGGCGGACGGGUGAGGAAUACAUCGGAAUCUACUUUUUCGUGGGGGCUAACGUAGGGAAACUUACGCUAAUACCGCAUACGACCUACGGGUGAAAGCAGGGGAUCUUCGGACCUUGCGCGAUUGACUGGUCCGAUGUCGGAUUAGCUAGUUGGCGGGGUAAAGGCCCACCAAGGCGACGAUCCGUAGCUGGUCUGAGAGGAUGAUCAGCCACACUUGAACUGAGACCCGGGCCAGACUCCUCCGGGAGGCAGCAGUGGGGAAUAUUGGACCAUGGGCGCAAGCCUGAUCCAGCCAGACCGCGUGGGUGAAGAAGGCCUUCGGGUUGUAAAGCCCCUCUGUUGGGAAAGAAAAGCAGCAGGUUAAUACCCCGCUGUCCUGACGGUACCCAAAGAAUAAGCAUCGGCUAACUUCGUG